GACGAACGCUGGCGGCGUGCUUAACACAUGCAAGUCGAACGGAAAGGCCCUGCUUUUGUGGGGUGCUCGAGUGGCGAACGGGUGAGUAACACGUGAGUAACCUGCCCUUGACUUUGGGAUAACUUCAGGAAACUGGGGCUAAUACCGGAUAGGAGCUCCUGCUGCAUGGUGGGGGUUGGAAAGUUUCGGCGGUUGGGGAUGGACUCGCGGCUUAUCAGCUUGUUGGUGGGGUAGUGGCUUACCAAGGCUUUGACGGGUAGCCGGCCUGAGAGGGUGACCGGCCACAUUGGGACUGAGAUACGGCCCAGACUCCUACGGGAGGCAGCAGUGGGGAAUAUUGCACAAUGGGCGGAAGCCUGAUGCAGCAACGCCGCGUGCGGGUUGAAGGCCUUCGGGUUGUAAACCGCUUUCGCCUGUGACGAAGCGUGAGUGACGGUAAUGGGUAAAGAAGCACCGGCUAACUACGUG
rnacentral:rRNA from 1 species